GUUUGACCUCAAAUCAGGUAGGAGUACCCGCUGAACUUAAGCAUAUCAAUAAGCGGGAGGAA
rnacentral:rRNA from 1 species